UACGUAGGGGCCAAGCGUUGUCCGGAUUUAUUGGGCGUAAAGAGCUCGUAGGCGGUUGGGUAAGUCGGGGGUGAAAACUCCAGGCUCAACUUGGAGAUGCCACCCGAUACUGCUCUGACUUGAGUUCGGUAGGGGAGUGGGGAAUUCCUGGUGUAGCGGUGAAAUGCGCAGAUAUCAGGAGGAACACCGGUGGCGAAGGCGCCACUCUGGGCCGAAACUGACGCUGAGGAGCGAAAGCGUGGGUAGCAAACAGG
rnacentral:rRNA from 1 species